AUAAAAGUUCAAGAACCUUCCAGGAUGCAUUAAAUAGGGAGCUGAUUUAGGACAGAGUAGAACAUACAGUGACAGAUAUUAUUAAAAACUGCCCUGUAUGUUUAAUAACAAACUAUUAGCAGUUUGCAUAUUUUACAUUUGAAGGAUUUACAUUAAUGAACUUUUUGGAUUUAAAAAAUUAUCUUUGAAGAGUGAAUUUGUAUUCUUUGGACAUGUAUACUAAAUUCAUUUUUGACCAAAGUACUUGGGAAUUUAUGCUGAUUGGAUUUAAAUUUGACCAGGACAGGGUUUGGACUAUUUUUGCACAUUAGAUUGGAUUUUACGGCUGUUUGACAUUUUUAAUUUAAAGAUUUUGUUCAGUUGCCCUGUAGGAUUUGACGGUGGCGGCUUUUCAACAGAGAGAGGAUAACCCGGGUCAAAGUUUGCGUACCUUCUGCGGAUGGGACUGUUACUAGACCCUCUCGAUCUGCACGCCUGUUGGUAGACAAAACAAGUCGUUAGAUACCCGUGGUCAACCCAAAUGGAAUGAUCGCUAUUCCGGAACAUGU